UUUGCCCUGUCAAAGCAGCCUUGUUAGUGUGGCCAUAGCUUCAUGGCCCUGGUCAACAGCAGUGUGCAGAUGCAGUGAGGAUGGGUGCAGGCAGCUUUGGACCAUUAGCUCCUGGCAGCUCACUGCUUCUUCCCUGGAAGGUGUUUGUGCUCCUCAGAAGAUUUCUCUGAAGAAACUAGUUGUAUAUCAGCUGCAUUGCCUUGACAGAGCUCUCUCUGGAUCAAGAUGCUGAAGUGCUAAUAGCAAUAAUCAUCCCAUGAACUGCACGGUACACAGGAUUCUUAGUGGUACUCCUAUAGACUCCUGCUGAUUAUGGCUACAAACUACUCAAAUAAAGAUCAUUGUAUUGGCUUUAUCCUCAAAAACACUUUUCUGGCUUCUGAAGGGAUGCACACACUCAAAGCAAACAGCAGGAAGAUAUAUUCAGCUGCAACGGUCUAAGUGUUUUGAGCAGCUAUUUGAAAUCUUUGAUUGAAGUCUUUGAUUAGAGCAACUGUCCCAUCAAGAAUAUUCUUGAGGAUUUCUG
rnacentral:lncRNA from 1 species